rnacentral:rRNA from 1 species
UUAUGGAGAGUUUGAUCCUGGCUCAGGACGAACGCUGGCGGCGUGCCUAAUACAUGCAAGUCGAGCGGAUCGAUGGGAGCUUGCUCCCUGAGAUCAGCGGCGGACGGGUGAGUAACACGUGGGUAACCUGCCUGUAAGACUGGGAUAACUCCGGGAAACCGGGGCUAAUACCGGAUAACACCUACCCCCGCAUGGGGGAAGGUUGAAAGGUGGCUUCGGCUAUCACUUACAGAUGGACCCGCGGCGCAUUAGCUAGUUGGUGAGGUAACGGCUCACCAAGGCGACGAUGCGUAGCCGACCUGAGAGGGUGAUCGGCCACACUGGGACUGAGACACGGCCCAGACUCCUACGGGAGGCAGCAGUAGGGAAU